rnacentral:misc_RNA from 1 species
GACGUUCCGCCCCUUAUAGAAUCGAUUAUUGAUGGGAAGAUAUUAUUUAACUAUCCAAAAUAUUAUUUAAUUAUUUUCAGAAUUAUUUUCUUUCAAUGUUUAUUCAAAUAGAACUUAAACCCAUCUCAGAAUUUUUAAAUGCUUGAUGACGUCACAUUUAAAACGUGGCAACAUUGGUUUCCCCACUUUGACAGCCAAUGCUUAGUAGAGGGGUACGAAGGAUUCAGCUGUGAACGUGAGCCUUGGAUUGCCAUUGUUUCUCGAGUGUUCGGUCUGAAUCGUAGUGUGCGGGGUCAUUAGACUCAAUUAUUCACCUCUAAUUCUCAGUUCCAAAUUGAUUAAAUAUUACAAUAAAAGUAUAGUGAAGUUAUCCAGCAGCAGUGGAUUUGAAGAAUUUUAGAGCAUACUAUAUCCAAUGAGUUCUACCCCGCACCUACCAUGAAAUCUUAAAGCCACCCUACAACAACACCAAGGCCAGACCACACAGAGAGAAACAAUCAAUAGGCGACCAGCCUGGAUUAUUUCCACAUUUUCUUUUUUUGAGUACCUCCAGCUGCUUUCCAACAGUUUUGAGUACCUUCAGCUGCUUUCUACCAGUCUUCCUCUCCUGUACCUCCAGCAGGACAGCUGCUAGCGAGAGUUAGCACCCUUGGGUGCUCAUUACAUCAACUUCAAGAUUAGGAAAGAGUGGUUUGUUUGGGAACAUUUACUGUGCUCUUAUUAAAGACAGACUGGUUUUGUGAUAUUUAGUACAUUUUUUUUUAUAGUUCAAUUGCACACACAUUUUUCCUGCUUUAUAUUUUUUAUAGGUUUUUUUUUCUUUACAACAUAAUAUUUAAUUGAUAGCGUUCCCCAACACUCUGCAAUCUAUAAAGGUAUAAAUUUCUGAGCUCAGAUAUUUUCCCUGAUAAUAGUAGUCGGUACUCUUAUCUUGAUUAUUUUUAGGCUGUGUUCCACUUUUGUAUAAUUAUUUAAACUCAUUCCAUUAUUUUAGUAUAUGUUUAAUUAAAUUUUUAAAAAUUAACUUCACAUAUUAGUCAAAAUUGUAAUUAUUAACUUUAUUUAACUUGAACUUAUUAACUUUACUUAACUUUAACUUAUUAACUUUAUUUAACUUUAACUUUAAUUUAUUAAAUUCAUAUGAACUUCUGGAUUCUAAUCCCUCAGAUUAGUUUUUGGUUUCACUUGUUAUUAUUACUAUUAUAAACCACGAGUUAGGAAAAGGAUCUGUGUAUCCACUCGUAGGUUUAUUUAUUCAAUAAGGCUUGUGCCUGUCCCACUCACAGUGAGGUAUUUAUAUGUUAUAUAUAGUAUCAGGUAGUAUUUAAUUAAGGUGUACGUAUUAUAAACGUACAAUUAUUAUUUGGUGAGGGUUCUACUAACCUAGUUGUAAGUUGUACUUCCUGUAUUAGAGGUACCCGUAGUCAGUUUUUCUAACCUUAUAAAGAGUAUUCUUAGAUCAUAGUUGUAUGAUGAUUUUGUAAUUGACUUUCACUAGUAUCACUUUUUCCUGUCAUGUUAGAGUUACACACUAGUUACUUGUCCUAACUCAGAGAUUGUUAAAAAGAUCUAGUAGUUACAUUCAAUAAAUAUACAUUUAUUGUGA